CCAAACUGUUGCCUCGGCGGGAUCUCUGCCCCGGGUGCGUCGCAGCCCCGGACCAAGGCGCCCGCCGGAGGACCAACCAAAACUCUUAUUGUAUACCCCCUCGCGGGUUUUUUUAUAAUCUGAGCCUUCUCGGCGCCUCUCGUAGGCGUUUCGAAAAUGAAUCAAAACUUUCAACAACGGAUCUCUUGGUUCUGGCAUCGAUGAAGAACGCAGCGAAAUGCGAUAAGUAAUGUGAAUUGCAGAAUUCAGUGAAUCAUCGAAUCUUUGAACGCACAUUGCGCCCGCCAGUAUUCUGGCGGGCAUGCCUGUCCGAGCGUCAUUUCAACCCUCGAACCCCUCCGGGGGGUCGGCGUUGGGGAUCGGCCCUCCCUUAGCGGGGUGGCCGUCUCCGAAAUACAGUGGCGGUCUCGCCGCAGCCUCUCCUGCGCAGUAGUUUGCACACUCGCAUCGGGAGCGCGGCGCGUCCACAGCCGUUAAACACCCAACUUCUGAAAUGUUGACCUCGGAUCAGGUAGGAAUACCCGCUGAACUUAAGCAUAUCAAUAAGCCGGAGGAA
rnacentral:rRNA from 1 species